rfam:Lupinus angustifolius cultivar Tanjil contig_10524, whole genome shotgun sequence.
CAAAAGAAGAGUUUGAUCCUAGCUCAGAAAGAACGCUAGCUAUAUGCUUAACACAUGCAAGUCGAACGUUGUUUUCGGGGAGCUGGGCAAAAGGAAAAUAGGCUCCUAUGGUGAAGGUAGCUUGUCUCACCUAGGAGGUGGUAACAGUUGAAAACAAAGUGGCGAACAGGUGCGUAAUGCGUGGGAAUCUGCCGAACAGUUCAGGCCAAAUCCUGAAGAAAGCUAAAAGGUGUUGUUUGAUGAGCCCGUGUAGUAUUAGGUAGUUGGUCAGGUAAAGGCUGCCAAGCCAAUGAUGCUUAGUUGGUCUUUUCGGAUGAUCAGCCACAUUGGGGCUGAGACACGACCCGUACUACCACGAGGGAAAGCAGUGGGGAACCUUGGGCAAUGGGCGAAAGCCCGAUCCAGCAAUAUCGCGUGAGUGAAGAAGGGCAAUGUCGCUUGUAAAGCUCUUUCCUCGAGUGCACGAUCAUGACAAGACUCGAUGAAGAAGCUCCGGCUAACACCAUUCCAGUAGCUGUGGUAAGACGGAGGUGGGGCAAGUGUUCUUCGAAAUGACUGGGUGUAAAGGGCACGUAGGCGGUGAAUCGGGUUGAAAGUGAAAGUCGCCAAAAACUGGUGGAAUGCUCUCGAAAUCAAUUCACUUGAGUGAGACAGAGGAGAGUGGAAUUUCGUGCAUAGGGGUGAAAUCCGCAGAUCUACGAAGGAAGGCCAAAAGCGAAGGCAGCUCUCUGGGUCCUUACUGACGUUGGAGUGCGAAAGCAUGGGGAGUGAACGGGAUUACAUACCCUGGUAGUCCAUGCCGUAAAUGACGAGAGUUUGCCCUAGGUCUACGUGGAUUAAGGGCCCAGCUAACGCGUUAAACACUCCGCCUGGGGAGUACGGGCACAAGACCGAAACUCAAAGGAAUUAACGGGGGCCUGCACAAGUGGUGGUGCAUGUGGUUUAAUUCGAUACAACGCGCAAAACCUUAGCAGCCCUUGAAAUAUGAAAAAGAAAACCAGUCCUUAACGGGAUGGUACUUACUUUCAUACAAGUGUUGCAUGGCUGUCGUCAGCUCGUGUCGUGAGAUGUUUGGUCAUGUCCUAUAACGAGCGAAACCCUCGUUUUGUGUUGCUGAGACAUGCGCCUUAGGAUAAAGUCUUUGCAACCGAAGUGAGACGAGGAGCCGAGUGAUUACGAAAGCCAGCGCUACUAAUUUAUUUAGUGUCAGCACGUAGUUGUGCUGUCAGUAAGAAGGGAGCCGACGCCUUUCAAAUUUGAAGCAUUUUCUAGUGUGCGCUCUUUUUUUAUUGCAUCUUGUUUAGAGCAAGAAAACGAAUGUGCGUUAGCCCUUUAUUAGUAAUGGAGGCUUUCUUUUUUUCAGCUCAAUCCAUUGCUUCUUGCUUUGGGCUUUUCUCGCUUUUUUUAGUCAAGUCUAGGUUUUGGCCUUAUCUUGCAGGUGACGAUGACGUCGAUUUGGCGAUGGAGAAAGACUCGACAUUCAAGCGAGCCGCCCGGUGGUGUGGUACGUAGUGGGUUUAGUACGCCCCACCAAAACAACUCCGAAAUAAACUAAAAGGUGCAUGCGGCACUCACGAAGGACUGCUAGUGAUAUACUGGAGGAAGGUGGGGAUGAAGUCAAGUCCGCAUGGAACUUAUGGGCUGGGCUACACACGUGCUACAAUGGCAAUUACAAUGGGAAGCAAGGCUGUAAGACGGAGCGAAUCCGGAAAUAUUGCCUCAGUUCAAAUUGUUCUCUACAACUCGGGAACAUGAAGUUCGAAUCGCUAGUAAUCGCGGAUCAGAAUGCCGCGGUGAAUAUGUACCCGGGCCCUGUACACACCGCCUGUCACACCCUUGGAAUUGGUUUCGCCAGAAGCAUCAGACCAAUGAUCACCCAUGACUUCUGUGUACCACUAGUGCCACAAAGGCUUUUGGUGGUCUUCUUGGUGCAUACCACGGUGGGGUCUUCGAUUGGGGUGAAGUCGUAACAAGGUAGCCAUAGGGGAACCUGUGGCUGGAUUAAAUCCUUC